CUCUCAGGUGGCAUUCCAGACAUGCAAGAUCUAGAUUUCCAAAAUGAAGACCAGAGAUCAAGUUUUGUAUUGUAACUCUCUAGUGAUAAGCACCUCAGGAAUGAGUUUACCCAUCAGAACUGCUUCUCUUGCAGAAGUACCAGAAAUACAAUGGCCUGAUGGAGCAAAUUUCUUAGCAAGCAUAAAAAGAGGAAAAGAAAUUCCACCGUUCUCCUAAAAGUCUGCCUGAGUCUUUGAGAGCAUCAAGGAGCUGGAGCCUGAUACCUAUUAGAAUUUAUUCCUAAUAGAAUUCUAAGUGGGAAUGGGCAAAGCAGAAGCAAAACUUCUCUACCAUAUUUUCGCUGAUUGUCAAGAAGGGGAGGAGAGAAAUGAAUGACGAUUUGAUGAUGGCAGAGGCUUCCCAGCUGAAGUACAGAAAUGACAACCUCCAAGCAUGGAACCAAGGAAAAGGACUGGGAAGACUGUUAAAAGGAUUGCUGUGAUGAAAGACGUAUCUGAAUGUCCUGAGGAAAUAAAUUAAAAAGAAGGUGCCUAUUUUCUGCUGCUUUCAGGACACCAAAUCAAGAAUACAACUGCUGCCUCACGUUUGCUCAUACCAUUCAUUAAUCCUACGUUUUUCAAGUGGCUGGGAAAUCCCCAUCUAUCACAGAGACCAACAAUUGUGUUACUGGACCAAGAUGAAUCUUGAUCAACAAUAUUGAACCUAUCCUUAGAAAAUAAGAAAUUUCGCAAUUCAGACAGUACAGUCAGUUAAUUAAUGUACUAAUAUUACCUCUAACAGCUUUCUAGACAUACGCACAAGAUGAGUACCUCCUAGAAAGUGUCAUUUUAACAUGAGAAACUUUAUUUUACAACGCUUGCAUAACCAGUAUUACAUAAAUAUAUAUGAAGUAUACACAAGUGUAUGUGCGUGAUGUGUUUGAUAAAUAUACAUCCUGUCUAUUAUGUUACAUCUAUUCAUUUUGCUGGGAAAUGGCCAUCAGAUGAAAACAUUUCUUCUGGCUGAGAAUAAAUUUGACAGAACAAUUGAAAACAGAGUUUCACUGAGUUCU